rnacentral:tRNA from 1 species
CAAAAUGUAGCUUAAUAAAAGCCCCCCGCUUACACCGGGAAGAUAUCCGUGCAGUCCAGAUCAUUUUGAG